ACCCUAUGGACGGGGAUAACCUCGGGAAACUGAGAAUAAUACCCGAUAGAACAUUAUGCCUGGAAUGGUUUAUGUUUCAAAUAAUUUAUUGCCGUAGGAUGGGACUGCGGCCUAUCAGUUUGUUGGUGAGGUAAUGGCCCACCAAGACUAUUACAGGUACGGGCUCUGAGAGGAGUAGCCCGGAGAUGGGUACUGAGACACGGACCCAGGCCCUAUGGGGCGCAGCAGGCGAGAAAACUUUGCAAUGUGCGAAAGCACGACAAGGUUAAUCCGAGUGGUUUCUGCUAAAGGAACCUUUUGUCAGUCCUAGAAACACUGAUGAAUAAGGGGUGGGCAAGUUCUGGUGUCAGCCGCCGCGGUAAAACCAGCACCUCAAGUGGUCAGGAUGAUUAUUGGGCCUAAAGCAUCCGUAGCCUGCUUUGUUAGUUUUCGGUUAAAUCCAUACGCUCAACGUAUGGGCUGCCGGGAAUACUGCAAAGCUAGGGAGGGGGAGAGGUAGACGGUACUCGGUAGGAAGGGGUAAAAUCCUUUGAUCUAUUGAUGACCACCUGUGGCGAAGGCGGUCUACCAGAACACGUCCGACGGUGAGGGAUGAAAGCUGGGGGAGCAAACCGGAUUAGAUACCCGGGUAGUCCCAGCUGUAAACUAUGCAAACUCAGUGAUGCAUUGGCUUGAUGCCAAUGCAGUGCUGCAGGGAAGCCGUUAAGUUUGCCGCCUGGGAAGUACGUACGCAAGUAUGAAACUUAAAGGAAUUGGCGGGGGAGCACCACAAGGGGUGAAGCCUGCGGUUCAAUUGGAGUCAACGCCGGG
rnacentral:rRNA from 1 species